AAGUGCUGAAAGCAUCUAAGCAUGAAGCCCCCCUCAAGAUGAGAUUUCCCAACUUCGGUUAUAAGAUCCCUCAAAGAUGAUGAGGUUAAUAGGUUCGAGGUGGAAGCAUGGUGACAUGUGGAGCUGACGAAUACUAAUCGAUCGAAGACUUAAUCAA
rnacentral:rRNA from 1 species